UUACCGGCUUGACAUAUAGAAACCUUUGAGAACAGGUGUUGCAUGGCUGUCGUCAGCUCGUGCCGUGAGGUGUUGGGUUAAGUCCCGUAACGAGCGAAACCCUAUUUUAGUUGCCAGCGUACGGGACUCUAGGAGACUGCCGUUGUCAAACGGAGGAAGGUGGGGACGACGUCAAGUCAUCAUGGCCCUUAUGCCGGGCUACAAACGUGCUACAAUGGCGUACAUGGGCCACCGCGAGGGUAGGAAUCCCAAAACGGCCCCAGUUCGGAUUGCAGGCUGAAAUUCGCCUGCAUGAAGCCGGAAUUGCUAGCAAUCGCGAUCAGCACGCGCGGUGAAUAUGUUCCUGAUCCUUGUACACACCGCCCGUCAAGCCACGGGAGCGGGAGGCUGAA
rnacentral:rRNA from 1 species